rnacentral:rRNA from 1 species
AUGCUCAUAGGAGUGAUCUUUGGCUAUGGAGGCGUAGCUUCGGAUGGUCUACAACAGUGUCUGGUUUCUCUGGUGGCUCUGAUUAUGUCAUGUCAUGUUGGUUGGCAUACAUUUAUUUCUGUAUUUGGCACUUUUGGUUGGCUGAUGUUGUUAUGUUGUCCACGGAAACACAAUACUUACGUUGGUGUCUAUGAUAGACUUUUGUUGUUCUACUGCCUGCACCCUGUUCGUUUAGAAGAUGAAGGGGAUGGAUGCAAACUUAUGUAUGCAAUGCAGGAUGAUCAUGGUAGCUUAUGUAAUUGUCGCUGGUCUUCUGUAUGA